UAUGAUUGGUGUUUGUGAAAAGU
rnacentral:miRNA from 1 species